rnacentral:rRNA from 1 species
AUUGAACGCUGGCGGCAGGCCUAACACAUGCAAGUCGAGCGGAUGAAGGGAGCUUGCUCCUGGAUUCAGCGGCGGACGGGUGAGUAAUGCCUAGGAAGCUGCCUGGUAGUGGGGGAUAACGUCCGGAAACGGGCGCUAAUACCGCAUACGUCCUGAGGGAGAAAGUGGGGGAUCUUCGGACCUCACGCUAUCAGAUGAGCCUAGGUCGGAUUAGCUAGUUGGUGGGGUAAAGGCCUACCAAGGCGACGAUCCGUAACUGGUCUGAGAGGAUGAUCAGUCGCACUGGAACUGAGACACGGUCCAGACUCCUACGGGAGGCAGCAGUGGGGAAUAUUGGACAAUGGGCGAAAGCCUGAUCCAGCCAUGCCGCGUGUGUGAAGAAGGUCUUCGGAUUGUAAAGCACUUUAAGUUGGGAGGAAGGGCAGUAAGUUAAUACCUUGCUGUUUUGACGUUACCAACAGAAUAAGCACCGGCUAACUUCGUG